GAUGAACGCUGGCGGCGUGCCUAAUACAUGCAAGUCGAGCGAACAGACGAGGAGCUUGCUCCUCUGACGUUAGCGGCGGACGGGUGAGUAACACGUGGAUAACCUACCUAUAAGACUGGGAUAACUUCGGGAAACCGGAGCUAAUACCGGAUAAUAUAUUGAACCGCAUGGUUCAAUAGUGAAAGACGGUUUUGCUGUCACUUAUAGAUGGAUCCGCGCCGCAUUAGCUAGUUGGUAAGGUAACGGCUUACCAAGGCAACGAUGCGUAGCCGACCUGAGAGGGUGCUCGGCCACACUGGAACUGAGACACGGUCCAGACUCCUACGGGAGGCAGCAGUAGGGAAUCUUCCGCAAUGGGCGAAAGCCUGACGGAGCAACGCCGCGUGAGUGAUGAAGGUCUUCGGAUCGUAAAACUCUGUUAUUAGGGAAGAACAAAUGUGUAAGUAACUAUGCACGUCUUGACGGUACCUAAUCAGAAAGCCACGGCUAACUCCGUG
rnacentral:rRNA from 1 species